CUGAGAUUACAGGGGUACAACACUAUGCCCAGUACAUGCAGUUCUGGGGGUUAAACCCAGGGCCUGUGCUCAUGAAGCAAAACCUCUGCCAAGUGACCAGCACCCUCUGCCCACAUUCUAAUAGAAGGUGGGAAGUGAGGGUAAAGCCAUGAGAUGCCUACCAUUAAGACAGCUGGAAGUUCUUUGUAGGGCCUGUUGUUAUUUGAAAUCUUUCUGAUUCCAACUUCCCAGUUUUCUCCUUGUUCUCUAUAUCCUUCCCUAGUUCUUCAAGUCUAAGGUUCCAAUGUCAGUCCUGACUUCCAAUAAUCCCCUUAUGUUUACUUUCAGAUGCACCUAUAGCUUCGACUGCCUAAUGUGAAUUCUAUAAUUUAAAACGCCAAUUGCACAUUCUCAACUUUUUAUGUUGUAAUUAUGUCAAGAUUUUCUACCUACCACGUGUGAGUACGUGUGCUCACGUCCUCCUGGUGUCUUUGCCAUGUUACUUGUCUCUGCCAAUGGAAUAUUAAUGACUGUGAAACAAGGAGAACUUAUAUAUGAGCUCACAUGCCUGUCCUGGUCCCCUGUACUUCUGCUAUCACUAGGUUAAAACAGAUACACUUUAUGUGAUUGUUCUUGUCAGAAUGAGAUCCCUCAAUCCUAGAGGCAACCAGAGAAUGGCAACCACAGCCAGAUGAUUUCAACUAAACCCCGAUAGCCCAGGAAUCCACACGUGAGAAAAAUAAAGGUUAAAUGUUAUAGGUCAGAUAUUUUGCUACUUUUCUGUUGCAGUGUUAUCAGAGCUCCAGAGCUGUCUAACACUCAGCGACUGUCUCAGUGCAGAGCUAGACAGGACUGCAACUUCAACCCGGGCCUCGGCUCCUUCCCUUCCAUGGUCAUGCUUUUCCUACAGUUCACUGCUCUCAGGUUCUGUUCUUCUUGGACAUUCCAGCCACAGCUUGCAGAGAGAAUGCAAAGGAAUUUCCUUCCAGUAGCAGACACUAGUCCUUCAAAGAAGUCUAGAAGAGGUGUUUCCUCAUGAGAGAUGCAGCAUGUCACAUGACUUUGAGUACAAACAAGAGUCUACCAAGAUGGUUCUCUUCAGAAAAUAAAGGCAGCCUUCAGCCAUCGGGAAGAAGCA
rnacentral:lncRNA from 1 species